GAUGAACGCUGGCGGCGUGCCUAAUACAUGCAAGUCGAGCGAACAGACGAGGAGCUUGCUCCUCUGACGUUAGCGGCGGACGGGUGAGUAACAUGUGGGUAACCUACCUAUAAGACUGGGAUAACUUCGGGAAACCGGAGCUAAUACCGGAUAAUAUAUUGAACCGCAUGGUUCAAUAGUGAAAGACGGUUUUGCUGUCACUUAUAGAUGGAUCCGCGCCGCAUUAGCUAGUUGGUAAGGUAACGGCUUACCAAGGCAACGAUGCGUAGCCGACCUGAGAGGGUGAUCGGCCACACUGGAACUGAGACACGGUCCAGACUCCUACGGGAGGCAGCAGUAGGGAAUCUUCCGCAAUGGGCGAAAGCCUGACGGAGCAACGCCGCGUGAGUGAUGAAGGUCUUCGGAUCGUAAAACUCUGUUAUUAGGGAAGAACAAAUGUGUAAGUAACUAUGCACGUCUUGACGGUACCUAAUCAGAAAGCCACGGCUAACUACGUG
rnacentral:rRNA from 1 species